GAAAGUGUUGCCACCCCACACAUCCAAGUGCAGGUGGUUUCCUUACCUGCAUAGAAGCGAAUGAGGCAGCCAAUCUCCGAGUCCAUACCUUCCUCCUGCACCCUCCACAACUCCCCAAAUCCCAGUUGAAAGAGAAUAAUGAAAAUUGGAGUUGGGUGGAAAGAAGAGCAAGGAUCCACAGUGUGACUCCUACCUUGUUCCACCUCCAAACCUUCCAUAAAGUUACUCAACUUGAAGGUGAGAGGAGAGACAGAAAGAAAAUGAGAGUUCAUAAAUAGACAGUGCCCUUAACACCAGAUCAACUGGAAUCUGGUAGUUGAGAUAAUACAUUGAUAGGGCCAUGAAACUUGUACUUGGAGUUUACUAGUAUUGUAAAAUGUCAUUCAGACCAUCUGAGCCAGCACACACUAUACUGAAUAAGAAAAGGACUUCAGUACAGGAUAAAUAUUUUCCAGACACCCAUGAAAUAGCUUCUUCUACUUUAAAGUAGAGUGGGGAAUAGACCAAUAUCCUGAAACCACGUGACUCCUGAAUGACACCCCCCCACACCCAACCUUUAAAGUGCUGCAAAUGUACAGUCAUCUAAUAUCACAUUUCUGACUAGCCACGCUUUUCAAAGAAUCACCUCUUAAAAUGCUAAAAGAUAAUCCUGAAAAGAAAAAACAGAUGUAAAAGUUGCAAACCUGGAUGCCAACUUGUUAAAAUAUUUUAACAAAAUAAACUUGUGUUGAAGGUCACGACAAUGAAGUAUUAGAUCGCAUGAAGACCAUGGAAUCCCAGUACUUCUGGUAACAAUAUGAAGAAAAACACCAUCCCAAACUAGUACCAGAUCUCAGACAGACAUUUUGGAAUCACAGGACAAGAUUUUACAAAGAGUUGCUGUCUCCAAUGCUCUUCCAUUCAAUGGUUAUGAUAAAUACAGAGCUGCGACUUUCAAGAGCUUAACAAUUUACAACCAUCUGUUGCCAUAUGGAUUGAAAUAUUACAAAAAGUGGCCACUGCCCCAGUGCCAUAGCAUGUGCAUCAUCUUAUACCUGUGUGAUAACAAUGAGGCAUCAGGAAAAUAAAGCAGAAGGGCUCAUAUGAACAUCAGAUGUAAUGAUGGUGACAGUGACAAUAACAUUCUUAGUCUUCUGCACGUCCAAUAGUUAAAAGGUGGCUCUGGCCCGGUUGGCGUGGCUCAGUGGUUGAGCAUCGACCUAUGAACCAGGAGGUCAAGGUUCAAUUCCCAGUCAGGGCACAUGCCCAGGCUGGGGCUCAAUCCCCAGUAGGAGGUGUGCAGGAGGCAGCCAAUCAAUGAUUCUCUCUCAUCAUUGAUGUUUCUCUCUCUCUCUCUCUCCCUCUCCCUUCCUCUCUGAAAUAAAAAUAUAUUUAAAAAAAAAUUUUAAAGGUGACUCUGUGUAAUAUUUUGGGGGAGUUUAAUAAUAUACAACGUUGGAAGUCAGAAGUUGUCAUUCUAGUCUUGGUAUUACACUAGUUAAGUAUGACCUUGGGAAGAUAUUAAACCUCAAGGAGGCUUCAGUUAUUAAUUUAUGAAAUGAAGGGAUUGAACUAGGUAGUGUCUCUAAAAUCCCUUCCAGCUCAAAACAUUUUUUUCUGAUUCUGGCUAAAAACAAAUGGUCUAAUUUGGAAUAUUGG